rnacentral:ncRNA from 2 species
CAAUGCGUAGACCGUCGAGGUUCUUCGGUCGGGUUUUCCCGCGCCGAAGCUAAGACGGGAAGCCGGUGCGGGACUUGUCCCUAGGCCGGCGCUGCCCCCGCAACUGUAAGCGGUGAGCGGCGGUCCACCAUGUCACUGGGGCUUCGUGCCCUGGGAAGACGGACCGUCGCGUUGACCCGUGAGCCAGGAGACCUGCCUCCGACGCGAUAACGUC